CUCUGCAGAAGUUUACUGGAUUUGGCUUCAUUACGACUGAAGAGCAGUGAUGUUAAAAUUUUUUUGUCCACUUGGGGGCAGUGUAACAAUCUGAGAACACCACACUGACAAAUGAUCAGGACCUGAGCUGAAACCACAGGCUGUCCAGGUGUCGUGACUGUGGCCGUGGCAGAAGGGAGUGAAGCUGUUUUACCCUGUUCCCUCAGCACCAGGCAGAACAUCGAGCAGAAGGUGUUUGACUGGAAGAAAGAUGUGAAGAAGGAGGUGUUCCUGUACGCUGCUGGCCAGCAUUACAACAAGGGCCGAACAGGUCAAGAUGAACAGUUCAAAGGACGAGUUUUUCAUUUUGAAGAUGAGCUGAAGAACGGCAACGCCUCCAUAAAGAUCCACAAUACAAAGAUGGCCGACAGUGGAAGUUACACCUGUACUUUCCCUAAUACAGCAGAACCAGAAUCCCACGUUAAACUUAUUGUAGAUCCUGACCCAGAGCGUUUUAUCUUAACCUCUUAGAGCUCCUUACAGUUUUAUACAUUGUCACCUGUUUAUACACCCUGAUCUUAAAUGUUCUGCUACUCCAAGACGAUGAAGAACUGAUACAUGUCCUCAGCAUCACUGCAAAGCAAAUAUU